AUGCAUCAGAUCAGCAUGGGCAUCAAGAUGGAAUCACAGACUCAGGUCUUCAUAUUUGUACUGCUAUGGUUGUAUGGUGCUGAUGGGAACAUUGUGAUGACCCGGUCUCCCAAAUCAAUGUCCAUAUCAGUAGAAAAUAGGGUCACCAUGAGCUGCAAGGCCAAUGAGAAUGUACAAAGUUAUGUAGCCUGGUUUCAACAGAAACCAGGACUAUCUUAUAAACUGCUGAUGUGCAAGGCAUCCAACUGCUACACUGGGGUUCCUGACUGCUUCACAGGCAGUGGAUCUGAGACAGAUUUCACUCUCACCAUCAGCAGUAUGUGUGGUGAAGACAUAGCCAUUUGUUACUGUCAGAAUGAUUAUGACUAUCCUGUGCUUCAACCUCCUACACAAACUUUCUUGAGAUUCUCACCAGCUGCCUGCACCACACAGCCCUAG